GACGAACGCUGGCGGCGUGCUUAACACAUGCAAGUCGAGCGGUAACAGGUGUAGCAAUACAUGCUGACGAGCGGCGGACGGGUGAGUAACGCUUGGGAAUCUGCCUGUUAGUGGGGGACAACCCGGGGGAAACUCGGGCUAAUACCGCAUACGCACUACGGUGGAAAGCCGGGGACCGCAAGGCCUGGCGCUAACAGAUGAGCCCAAGUCGGAUUAGCUAGUUGGUAGGGUAACGGCCUACCAAGGCGACGAUCCGUAACUGGUCUGAGAGGACGACCAGUCACACCGGAACUGAGACACGGUCCGGACUCCUACGGGAGGCAGCAGUGGGGAAUAUUGGACAAUGGGCGAAAGCCUGAUCCAGCGACGCCGCGU
rnacentral:rRNA from 1 species